GAUGAACGCUAGCGGCAGGCUUAACACAUGCAAGUCGAGGGGUAUUGAUUUUCGGACCAAGAGACCGGCGCACGGGUGCGUAACGCGUAUGCAAUCUACCUUUUGCAGAGGGAUAGCCCAGAGAAAUUUGGAUUAAUACCUCAUAGUAUAGCGGUUUCGCAUGAAACCACUAUUAAAGUUCCAACGGUGAAAGAUGAGCAUGCGUCCAUUAGCUAGAUGGUAAGGUAACGGCUUACCAUGGCUACGAUGGGUAGGGGUCCUGAGAGGGAGAUCCCCCACACUGGUACUGAGACACGGACCAGACUCCUACGGGAGGCAGCAGUGAGGAAUAUUGGUCAAUGGACGCAAGUCUGAACCAGCCAUGCCGCGUGCAGGAUGACGGUCCUAUGGAUUGUAAACUGCUUUUAUACAGGAAGAAACACUCCGACGUGUCGGAGCUUGACGGUACUGUAAGAAUAAGGAUCGGCUAACUCCGUGCCAGCAGCC
rnacentral:rRNA from 1 species